CCUACGGGUGGCAGCAGUGAGGAAUAUUGGUCAAUGGGCGAGAGCCUGAACCAGCCAAGUCGCGUGAGGGAGUACUGCCCUAUGGGUUGUAAACCUCUUUUGUCGGGGAGCAAAAGCCGGACGUGUCCGGCUGUUAGAGUACCCGAAGAAAAAGCAUCGGCUAACUCCGUUCCAGCAGCAGGGGUAAUACGGAGGAUGCUGGCGUUACCCGGAUUUAUUGGGUUUAAAGGGGGCGCAGGCGGAUUUUUAAGUCAGCGGUCAAAUCGUGGGGCUCAAACCCAUCCAGCCGUUGACACUGGGGAUCUAGAGUGUGCGAGAGGUAUGCGGAAUGCGUGGUGUAGCGGUGAAAUGCAUAGAUAUCACGCAGAACCCCGAUUGCGAAGGCAGCAUACCGGUGCACAACUGACGCUCAGGCACGAAAGCGUGGGUAUCGAACAGGAUUAGAUACCCCGGUAGUC
rnacentral:rRNA from 1 species